GACGAACGCUGGCGGCGUGCCUAAUACAUGCAAGUAGAACGCUGAAGAGAGGAGCUUGCUCUUCUUGGAUGAGUUGCGAACGGGUGAGUAACGCGUAGGUAACCUGCCUUGUAGCGGGGGAUAACUAUUGGAAACGAUAGCUAAUACCGCAUAACAAUGGAUGACACAUGUCAUUUAUUUGAAAGGGGCAAUUGCUCCACUACAAGAUGGACCUGCGUUGUAUUAGCUAGUAGGUGAGGUAACGGCUCACCUAGGCGACGAUACAUAGCCGACCUGAGAGGGUGAUCGGCCACACUGGGACUGAGACACGGCCCAGACUCCUACGGGAGGCAGCAGUAGGGAAUCUUCGGCAAUGGGGGCAACCCUGACCGAGCAACGCCGCGUGAGUGAAGAAGGUUUUCGGAUCGUAAAGCUCUGUUGUAAGUCAAGAACGAGUGUGAGAGUGGAAAGUUCACACUGUGACGGUAGCUUACCAGAAAGGGACGGCUAACUACGUGCCAGCAGCCGCGGUAAUACGUAGGUCCCGAGCGUUGUCCGGAUUUAUUGGGCGUAAAGCGAGCGCAGGCGGUUUGAUAAGUCUGAAGUUAAGGCUGUGGCUCAACCAUAGUUCGCUUUGGAAACUGUCAAACUUGAGUGCAGAAGGGGAGAGUGGAAUUCCAUGUGUAGCGGUGAAAUGCGUAGAUAUAUGGAGGAACACCGGUGGCGAAAGCGGCUCUCUGGUCUGUAACUGACGCUGAGGCUCGAAAGCGUGGGGAGCGAACAGGAUUAGAUACCCUGGUAGUCCACGCCGUAAACGAUGAGUGCUAGGUGUUGGAUCCUUUCCGGGAUUCAGUGCCGCAGCUAACGCAUUAAGCACUCCGCCUGGGGAGUACGACCGCAAGGUUGAAACUCAAAGGAAUUGACGGGGGCCCGCACAAGCGGUGGAGCAUGUGGUUUAAUUCGAAGCAACGCGAAGAACCUUACCAGGUCUUGACAUCCCGAUGCUAUUUCUAGAGAUAGAAAGUUACUUCGGUACAUCGGUGACAGGUGGUGCAUGGUUGUCGUCAGCUCGUGUCGUGAGAUGUUGGGUUAAGUCCCGCAACGAGCGCAACCCCUAUUGUUAGUUGCCAUCAUUCAGUUGGGCACUCUAGCGAGACUGCCGGUAAUAAACCGGAGGAAGGUGGGGAUGACGUCAAAUCAUCAUGCCCCUUAUGACCUGGGCUACACACGUGCUACAAUGGUUGGCACAACGAGUUGCGAGUCGGUGACGGCAAGCUAAUCUCUUAAAGCCAAUCUCAGUUCGGAUUGUAGGCUGCAACUCGCCUACAUGAAGUCGGAAUCGCUAGUAAUCGCGGAUCAGCACGCCGCGGUGAAUACGUUCCCGGGCCU
rnacentral:rRNA from 1 species